rnacentral:rRNA from 1 species
UUUAGUGGAAAUCUUGGUAAAAUAUAAAGAACGUCGUGCGACGAAACGUUGUAUGUAGGCAUUAGCUUGUGAUAUACAAAUGUUCUAGAGGAAUACCUCAAAUUUUUUAUUUAAAUUUAUGUGAAUUGAAUCAUCUUAGUAACAUAAAAUAAAUCAAAAGAGAUUCUGUUAUUAAUGGCGAAUAAACGCAGAAAUAGCUUAUUUAUUUAUUUUUUAGAAAUUCUUUAAAAGGUUCAAGUCCUGUAUAAAAAUAAUUAAAUUUAUAAAUAGUGUGAAAUUUAAUUUACAUGAAUAAAGGAGAACCACCUUCUAAGCUAAAAAUAUUUUUUAACCGAUAGUGAACAACUACCGUGACGGAAAGAUAAAUUAUUUCGAAAGAAAUAAAAUUGAAAUUAUACGCUUAUAAUUUUUUGAAGUUUUAUAAUAUAAUAAAAAAAUAACAAAAUGCCUUUUGCAUAAUGAGUCAGUAAGUUAUAAAUUAUAGCAAGCUUAUAAUUUAAUAUUAAGGCGUUGAAAAAGUUAUAAUUUUUAAACCUGAAGCCAAGUGAUCUAAUUGAAAGCAGGUUGAAAAAUUAUUAAUAUAAUUUUGGAAGACUGUACCCGUAUAUGUAGCAAAAUAUAGGGAUGACUUUUAGUUAGGGGCGAAAGACCAAUCAAACUUGGCGAUAGCCGGUUUUUCACGAAAUGUAUUUUAGUACUGUGUUAUUUUUUUUAAGUAAACUGAAGGUAGAGUACCUAUUAAGUAAAGGGGGCUAUACUGUCUUACUAAAUUUAGUUUAACUUAUAAUUUUAGUUUAAUAAAAGUAAUAAACAGUCUUUAGGCGAUAAGGUUUAAAGACAAAAGGAAAACAAUCCAAAUCACAUAUUAAGAUCUUAAAAUUAUAAUUUAGUGAAAAAAGUUUUUAUUUAUACAAAUAUUUAGGAUAAGCUUAGAAGCAGCUUUUCAUUAGAGAAAGCGUUUUAGCUCAUUAUUUAUUUUAUAAAAUCUUAAAAUGAAAAGACUUUAAAUUAUAUAUCGAUAUAGUGAAUUAAAGUUAAUAACUUUAAUGGUAGUGAAACGUUCUGUUUAAUUUUAUUAAUGAUAAUUAAUGAUAAUUUUCAGAAUUGCUAAUGCUGAUAUGAGUAGCGAAAAACUAUGUAAAAAUCAUAGUCACUUUAUAUCUGAGGUUUUCAGUGUAAUUUUUUAUACAUUGAGUUAGUCGGUCCUUAAAAGGAGAAUGAAAGUUGUACUUGACAGGUAAAAAAACUCAUUAUAUGCAUUAACUAAUGUUUUUGUUAAAAGGAUAAUAUUUUGUUUUAUAUUUCUGUUAAAAGGUAAAAUUACAAUAUAAAAUAUUUUUCUCGAGAAAAAAUUAUAAUGAUAAAACCGUACUUAAACCAACACAGGUGGAUUUUUUAUUAGAUAAAGUGAAUGAAUUAAUUAUACUGAAGGAACUAGGCAAAUUUACUCUGUAUGCUAGCUAUAAAGAGAACUGAGUUUAUUUCAGUAACAUUAACUAAGAAGUAACGACUGGUUACCAAAACCAUAGGACUUUGCAAAUUAAACUAAUACGUAUAAAGUCUGACGUCUGCCCAGUAUUUAAAAGUGAUAAAUAAAAGUAAUAAAUGCUAAUAUUUUAAUCUUAAGUAAACGGCGGUUCUAACUAUAAGAAUCCUUAGGUAGCGAAAUUCCUUGGCGGGUAAAUUCCGUCCUGCAUGAAUGACGUCACGAUUACUUCGCUGUCUCCAGUAUAAAUUCAGCGAAAUUACAUAAUCCAUGAAAAUGUGGAUUACCUACAGUAAGACGGAAAGACCCUAGAUCCUUUACUCUAUUUUUAUAUUGUAAAGUGAUAAAUUAAAAUGUAGAAUAUAUGGGAGUAGUUAAAUACAAAUUAUGAAAUACCAUUUUUUAUUUUUAUUUUUACUUAUUUUUAAACUAAAAACAGUGUAAGAAAGGGAGUUUACUUGGGACGAGUACCUCCUAAAAUGUAACGGAGGUGUACAAAGGUAAGUUUCAAUUACUUUGAUAUAGGUAAUGAAGUAUAUAAUGGUAUAAACUUGCUUAAUAAUAAGAUUGAUGAAUCAAAUUGAAACUAAAGUUUGUCAUAAUGAUCCGGUACUUAUGUGUGGAAAUAAUACCGCUUAACAAAUAAAAGGAACUCUAGGGAUAACAGAUUUAUCGUGGUUGAAAGUUCUUAUUGAUGCCACGGUUUGAUACCUCGAUGUCGACUCAUCUUAUCCUGAAAUUGAAGUAAAUUUCAAGGGUCUAGUUGUUCGCUAGUUAAAAAGGUACGUGAGUUGGGUUCAGAACGUCGUGAGACAGUUCGGUCCCUAUCUGCUGUAGGAUUGAAAAUAAAAAAAUAUGUUUUUAGUACGAGAGGACCAAAACAGUUUAACCACUAGUGUAUUGAUUGCUAAACCGUUAGCAGCGUCAAGUAGCUACGUUAAAUUUAUUAUAAAUACUGAAAGAAUCAAAAGUAUUAAAAAUAUUUUAUAACUUUUCAAGAGAAUUUUGGAAGAUUACCAAAUAUAUCGAUUUAUAGUUAACUAUUUAGUAAUAAAAUUUAACUUAUAAAAACGAA